AAUGAACGCUGGCGGCAGGCCUAAUACAUGCAAGUCGAGCGGAGCGGCGGACGGGUGAGUAAUGCCUAGGAAUCAGCCUGGUAGUGGGGGACAACGUCCGGAAACGGGCGCUAAUACCGCAUACUAUCAGAUGAGCCUAGGUCGGAUUUGCUAGUUGGUGGGGUAAAGGCUUACCAAGGUGACGAUCCGUAACUGUACUGAGAGGGUGAUCAGUCACACUGGAACUGAGACACGGUCCAGACUCCUACGGGAGGCAGCAGUGGGGAAUAUUCGGCAAUGGGCGAAAGCCUGAUCCAGCCAUGCCGCGUGUGUGAAGAAGGUUUUCGGAUUGUAAAGCACUUUAAGUAGGGAGGCGUUACCUACAGAAUAAGCACCGGCUAACUUCGUGCCAGCAGCCGCGGUAAUAC
rnacentral:rRNA from 1 species